GCGGGGAUAACUCAGUUGGGAGAGUGUCAGACUGAAGUCCAAACUUCAUCAUCAAAUCUGAAAGUCGUGUGUUCAAUCCACACUCACCGCA